UACAGAGGUCUCAAGCGUUGUUCGGAAUUACUGGGCGUAAAGGGUGCGCAGGCCGCGCGGGCAGUCAAAUGUGUAAUCCAGGGGCUCAACCCCUGAACUGCGCUUGAUACUUCCGCGCUCGAGCUUUGGAGAGGAGUCUGGAAUUCUCGGUGUAGCAGUGAAAUGCGUGGAUAUCGAGAAGAACACUUAGGGCGUAGGCAAGACUCUGGACAAAUGCUGACGCUCAUGCACGAAGGCUAGGAUAGCGAACGGG
rnacentral:rRNA from 1 species